GAGGGAGUCCCUCCCUCUAAAACCACUCUGUGUGGGGAACAUGAGAGCCAGACCAAAGCUCAGAGGAACCAACCUGAACCUGAACCUGAACCUGAACCCAGCUGUGUGUCUUUAAAGAGCGAUUGAGGAAGCUGGUAUAAAGUUUAGCAAAGUGUAAACUGUAUCUAAAUGUUGUAAUUGACUCAGUUUGAACAGUUUUCUGAAUAAAUGUUCAACUUUUUUAAUGUCA